rnacentral:lncRNA from 1 species
GUUUUUGUAAAAUUUUCUUUUUUCUUUCUGUCUGUUUAUAUCGUCUUGAUUCUUCUUUUUGUCUUUUUUUAUUUGGACUGGUAAUAAGACUCAGAGUGUUCUCAAAUGUUUUUAGAAUAUUCUCUGGAAAUUCACAUUAAUAAAGCUACUGAUAUUUAUCGGAACAGUAAUGAAAUUAACACUAUUGAUUUCGUGCGUCCGAAGUGCCAUCCUUGUUUAAUCAUCAUCAGUAACGUUCACACAUAAACAAUCAGGGGAUGGAUAAAUAAGACCUAAACGCGUGAUCAGUUACAAAUCCAAAACCUUUCAGAGCGGUAUUCAAAUUACAGUUUUUCUUGAUUUAAUUAUUUGUUUUACUUUAUAUAACUUAUGUUGUCUCCAUAAUUUGGCUUUAGAGUGCACCUAUUGAAUAUGAGGAAAAGACGAGAUUAUUGACCAUUAUGAAAUCUCUGUGUCACAUAUGACCACAU